rnacentral:misc_RNA from 1 species
GGCGUCUGGUGGAUUUGUUGGAGAGAGCCAGAGUUUCAUUGCAGAUGAUUAGAUAUCUGGCCCUAGACGAGGCUGACAGAAUGCUGGAUAUGGGAUUUGAGCCACAAAUUCGGAAGAUUGUGGAACAAAUGGACAUGCCUCGGGCAGGGGAACGACAGACCAUGCUGUUCAGUGCCACAUUUCCGAGGGAGAUACAGAGACUCGCUUCUGAUUUCCUUGCUGGCUACAUCUUUCUUGCUGUUGGAAGAGUUGGUUCUAGUACUGAUCUGAUUGUCCA